GUGUCUUAGCUUUCCGUUCGUGUGAACAUGUUGCGUAACAAUCAGGACAAAUGCAGAGUCAUUGCAACCACUUCAGAAGCCGACGUCAAGAAGAUUCUAAGGACGCAUGCGCGCGAAAGUUGUCUCGGUUUGUCCAUUGAGAGCGCUGCUUCGUCCUUCAGUCGAACUUUGGUUCAGUCUGGUGUGCAAGCAGUUUGUAGUAUAACUGGUAGAGGGCUCCACAAGCAACAAAGUUUUUUGUUUUUGUUUGAAGAUUUUUAUACAUCAGUUGAAUCAGUUUUGGCGCGGAAAAGUUUCAUUGUUGCACAAAUCGUAUAUGUUUUUUAAAGAUUUAAUUACGAAAUCGUAUAAGAUUAGAAAGUUUGUGAUACAACGCGACAGGUUUGUUGCCUUGUUUAUUAAUUGUGACAGAAUUGAAGGAAGAGGUCUGUAAUUGGAUUUCAGUGCAAAGUGCAAACCCUGUGGCUGACGUCUCAUAUCCUGUGCAGUCAGUUGUUUUAAAUCCAGGAGGGAUGAAGGUGGGAGGACCGAGUAGCAGACUUAAGAGACAAAACACUUGCACAUGGCGACAGCAGAGAAUUCGUGAUGAAGUGUGGCGCUUGUGACGAAGCGGAA